GGUCAAGCGAACAAGGGCGCAGGGCGAAUGCCUUGGCACUGGGAGCCGAUGAAAGACGUGAUAAGCUGCGAUAAGCUUCGGGGAGCUGCAAAUAAGCAUUGAUCCGGAGAUUUCUGAAUGAGGAAACUCACCUGGGUUCAUACUCAGGUACAAUACACUGAAAUUCAAAAUAGGUGUAUUGAGGGAACCGCCUGAACUGAAACAUCUAAGUAGGGCGAGGAAGAGACAUCAAACGAGAUUCCGUAAGUAGUGGCGAGCGAACGCGGAAGAGGGCAAACCGAGAGUAGAAAUACUUUCGGGGUACGGACUGCUUUUAAGACUCAAUCUGUUAACCGAACGGCAUGGGAAGGCCGGUCAGAGAGUGUGAGAACCACGUAGGUGAAAACGGAGAGAGCUGCGCAGGAUCCAGAGUACGGCCAGACACGUGAAACCUGGUCGGAAUACGGGGGGACCACCCUCCAACCCUAAAUACUACCCAGUGACCGAUAGCGUAUAGUACUGUGAAGGAAAGGUGAAAAGCACCCCGGGAGGGGAGUGAAAAAGAACCUGAAACCCUGUGCCUACAAGCACCUAGAGCACGUCAAUGUGUGAUAGGGUACUUUUUGUAGAACGGUCCGGCGAGCGAUUGUAUGCAGCAAGGUUAAGGACUUAAGGUCUGGAGCCGAAGCGAAAGCGAGUUUGAAAAGGGCGUUAAGUUGCAUAUAAUGGGCCCGAAACCGGGUGACCUACCCAUGGUCAGGUUGAAGUGGAAGUAAAAUUCCAUGGAGGACCGAACCGACCUCCGUUGAAAAGGCGGCGGAUGAACUGUGGGUAGCGGAGAAAUUCCAAUCGAACCCGGAGAUAGCUGGUUCUCCCCGAAAUAGUUUUAGGACUAGCCUCAAGUUAGAUACCUGGAGGUAAAGCACUGAAUAGCCUAGCGGCCGAGAGGUUAGCGAAGCUUAUCAAACUCAGAAUGCCAGAGUAUUGAUGCUUGGGAGUCAGACAGUGUCAGAUAAAUGUCAUUGUCAAAAGGGAAACAGCCCAGAUCUACAGCUAAGGUCCCAAAGUCAGGUUAAGUGGAAAACGAUGUGAAGAUACGCAGACAACCAGGAUGUUGGCUCAGAAGCAGCCACUCAUUCAAAGAGUGCGUAAUAGCUCACUGGUCGAGCGUCUUUGCGCGGAGAAUUUAACGGGGCUAAACCUGACACCGAAGCUUAGGCAAUACAGCAAUGUAUUGGGUAGGGGAGCGUUGUAUACGCGGAGAAACAGUAGCGUAAGCGGCUGUGGAGUGUAUAGAAGUGAGAAUGCCGGAAUGAGUAGCGCGAAUGCAGUGAGAAUCUGCAUGGCCGAAAGCCUCAGGUUUCUGGAGGAAGGUUCGUCCGCUCCAGGUUAGUCGGGAGCUAAGGUGAGGCCGGAAGGCGUAGCCGAUGCACAGACGGUAGAGAUUCCGUCACCACCAAAAGAGUUAAGCACAGGGACACAUAUGAAGUCUCAGAGCCGGGUGUUGGUUCCGGUAGAGAUCGAGGGAAAUUAGUACCGAAGUCUGAGAUGGAAGAUGGCGAGAAAAGCUGUGUGUAUUUCUGAGGUGCCCGUACCGCAAACCGACACAGGUAGGUAGGAAGAAGAUUCUAAGGCCAACGGGAGAAGGGUUGUUAAGGAACUCGGCAAAUUGACCCCGUAACUUCGGGAGAAGGGGUGCUCCAGAGAUGGAGCCGCAGAGAAUCGGCCCAAGCAACUGUUUACCAAAAACACAGGUUUGUGCUAAAUCGAAAGAUGACGUAUACGAGCUGACGCCUGCCCGGUGCUGGAAGGUUAAGAGGAGAUGUGCAAGCAUUGAAUCGAAGCCCCAGUGAACGGCGGCCGUAACUAUAACGGUCCUAAGGUAGCGAAAUUCCUUGUCAGGUAAGUUCUGACCCGCAUGAAAGGCGUAAUGAUUUGGGCACUGUCUCAACAGCCCGCCCGGCGAAAUUGUAGUACCGGUGAAGAUGCCGGUUACCCGCGACAAGACGGAAAGACCCCAUGGAGCUUUACUGUAGCCUAAUAUUGGGUUUCGAUGUUGCAUGCACAGGAUAGAUGGGACUCUUGGAAACCAAGGCUUUGGCUUUGGCGGAGAGGCCGUUGGGAUACCAUCCUUGCGAUAUUGGAAUUCUAACCUGCGGCUCUGAAUCGAGUCGGGGGACAUUGUUAGGUGGGCAGUUUGACUGGGGCGGUCGCCUCCUAAAGAGUAACGGAGGCGUUCAAAGGUUCGCUCAGCUUGAACGGAAAUCAAGCAAAAGAGUGCAAACGCAGAAGCGAGCCUAACUGCGAGACUGACGGGUCGAGCAGUAACGAAAGUUGGAGUUAGUGAUCCGGUGGUAUGUGAGUGGAAAUGCCAUCGCUCAACGGAUAAAAGUUACCCUGGGGAUAACAGGCUGAUCUCCCCCAAGAGUCCACAUCGACGGGGAGGUUUGGCACCUCGAUGUCGGCUCAUCGCAUCCUGGGGCUGUAUUCGGUCCCAAGGGUUUGGCUGUUCGCCAAUUAAAGCGGUACGCGAGCUGGGUUCAGAACGUCGUGAGACAGUUCGGUCCCUAUCUGUCGUGGGCGCAGGAUAUUUGAUGGGAGCUGUCCCUAGUACGAGAGGACCGGGACGGACGUACCUCUGGCGCACCAGUUGUUCCGCCAGGAGCAUAGCUGGGCAACUACGUACGGAUCGGAUAAACGCUGAAAGCAUCUAAGCGUGAAGCCGACCCAAAGAUAAGAUAUCCCACUGAUUGAAUCAGGUAAGAUCCCUUGUAGACUACGAGGUUGAUAGGCACGAUGUGUAAGUGGAGUGAUCCAUUCAGCAAGUGUGUACUAAUAGAUCGAGGGCUUGACCAC
rnacentral:rRNA from 1 species